rnacentral:rRNA from 1 species
GACGAGCGCUGGCGGCGUGCCUAAUACAUGCAAGUUGAGCGCUGAAGGUUGGUACUUGUACCAACUGGAUGAGCAGCGAACGGGUGAGUAACGCGUGGGGAAUCUGCCUUUGAGCGGGGGACAACAUUUGGAAACGUAUGCUAAUACCGCAUAAAAACUUUAAACACAAGUUUUAAGUUUGAAAGAUGCAAUUGCAUCACUCAAAGAUGAUCCCGCGUUGUAUUAGCUAGUUGGUGAGGUAAAGGCUCACCAAGGCGAUGAUACAUAGCCGACCUGAGAGGGUGAUCGGCCACAUUGGGACUGAGACACGGCCCAAACUCCUACGGGAGGCAGCAGUAGGGAAUCUUCGGCAAUGGACGAAAGUCUGACCGAGCAACGCCGCGUGAGUGAAGAAGGUUUUCGGAUCGUAAAACUCUGUUGGUAGAGAAGAACGUUGGUGAGAGUGGAAAGCUCAUCAAGUGACGGUAACUACCCAGAAAGGGACGGCUAACUACGUG